CUGCGCACCCGUUCUUGCGGGUGCCCCGUCCCUUCCUUUGGAAACGAUACUAUAUUUUCUCUGUGUUUGGCCGAAGGAAAGAAAUAUUUUCAUUGGACUUGCAAGCUGUUUGAAAGAGGGUGACUGGGGAGGGACAGGUCUGAAAGUGGGUGGCUGUCCUUUGAUCUGGUGGCCUCCGAGCAGGGGUGGCAAAGUUACCAUUUUAGAGGGACCUGUUGGUUUUCCUUCCACACGGCGUGCAAUGGUGCUCAACCCCACGGCCACAUCGGCUUCAAGCGCGCCCUGAGUGUAUAACACACAGCACUGAGAGGUGGACGCAACGCUUCACAGACACAACCGUGGGACUGCUUCGCCGAGUUGUGAAAUAAUUGAGAGGUGUUGCAAAUGCAUCCACGCGCCGCGAGUGAGCAACCGACUUCAAGUCUGAACACGUCUCCCGAGGGAUAUUUUAGCUUGACGAUAAUGAUGGCGAGUGUGCGCGCUUGAAAUCAGGAGGGCAAAAGGGCCCGAGGCAGUGCCAAGUUCCGUGGAGGGAAGGGGUGGGACUGGGAGCCACGGGGCGCGAGCGGGUGUAGACGCGGGAGGUAGUGGCUGCAUCUCCGUUUCCUGGGCUUUAAAGACACUGCUCUUGGCGGCUGCAGAAGGCAAGCCGGCCUUGAAGAAGGGCGCCAAGGAGCCGUCUCUAGGUCUUCCAGACCCCCCCUUUGGUGAUUACAAAUUUUCCCCACCCUCCUCUGAUGCUGAACGUGUAGCAUAUAAAACAGGGACACGCCAACUGGUCUAGCCCAGUGUUCCUCAAGCCCAGGGAUGGGGGUCAUUCCUUGUGGCGGGGGGCGGGGAGAGGGGACUGUCUGUGCGUUGUGGGUGGCUUAGCAGCAUCCCGGGCUCCCACUCACUAGGUUCCAGGAGCGCGGCUAGUUGUGACAAAUAAAAUUGUCUCCAGACAUUGCCAAAUAUCCCCGGGGGCGAGGGGAUGGUAUCUCCCUGGAUUGGGAACCACGGGUUCAGUCCAACCAUUAGGCCAAGCGAAGUUUUCAUCAGUAAAGAUAAGUCAUCUAGUAGAAGGACCAUAUGGCAUUUUUGGUGAAAGUUGACAACCCCAAAUAACAUGCCUGGACCAACCAGAGAUGAGGACAGAAGUCUGAGACAAAGUGCUUCAAAGCACUGGCUUAUGGCUUUAGGGAGCCAUAACACCAUUUCAAAAGAAUUCUGGAGAAAAAAAAAAUCCUGGAGCAUCUAACUUAAAAAAAAAAAAAAAGGUAAAUUAGAAGAGUGGAACCUUUACACUUGAACUCCAGGGAUUAGAGAGGCAGAACAGACAAGACCUCAAGACCCGCUCAGUGGAAUUCUCCACAGCCUGCUGUGACCACUCCCACACACUGGGUCCCACAGCUCUGGGUCUUCGAGAUCCCUUUUCAUCCUGAGGCUGUGGAUGGGACCAUCUUUGCAUUCUGUCUAACCUGUGCAAAAAGCAUUUGGCAUUAUUAACUUUGGAAGGCACAUUUAGUGGUUCAGGCCUCAGAGAAUGGAGGAAGGUGUUUAAAAAUGCUAUCCCUUGGGGCACCUGGGUGGCUCAGUCAGUUAAGCGUCCGACUUCAGCUCAGGUCAUGAACUUGAGGUUCAUGAGGUCGAGCCCCACAUCGGGCUCUGUGCUGAUAGCUCAGAGCCUGGAGCCUGCUUCGGAUUCUGUGUCUCCCUCUCUCUCUGCCCCUCCUCUGUUCGUGCUCUCUCUCUCUC